rnacentral:tRNA from 1 species
GGCCCCGUGGCGGAACGGCAGACGCAGCGGACUUAAAAUCCGCAGUCCCGAAAGGGACAUGUGGGUUCGACUCCCACCGGGGCCU